AUUGAACGCUGGCGGCAGGCUUAACACAUGCAAGUCGAGCGGGGUGAUGGUGCUUGCACUAUCACUUAGCGGCGGACGGGUGAGUAAUGCUUAGGAAUCUGCCUAUUAGUGGGGGACAACAUCUCGAAAGGGAUGCUAAUACCGCAUACGUCCUACGGGAGAAAGCAGGGGAUCACUUGUGACCUUGCGCUAAUAGAUGAGCCUAAGUCGGAUUAGCUAGUUGGUGGGGUAAAGGCCUACCAAGGCGACGAUCUGUAGCGGGUCUGAGAGGAUGAUCCGCCACACUGGGACUGAGACACGGCCCAGACUCCUACGGGAGGCAGCAGUGGGGAAUAUUGGACAAUGGGGGGAACCCUGAUCCAGCCAUGCCGCGUGUGUGGAGAAGGCCUUAUGGUUGUAAAGCUCUUUAAGCGAGGAGGAGGCUCUUUUGGUUAAUACCCAAGAUGAGUGGACGUUACUCGCAGAAUAAGCACCGGCUAACUCUGUGCCAGCAGCCGCGGUAA
rnacentral:rRNA from 1 species